GGGGUCGAUCGGUUUCGACGGUGACCUGUUCGUCGCAGGGAAGCGUGCCGAGAAUGCGGGGGUCCGCUCGUUAAUGUCCUCCCGCAAAACAAUAAGUGCCAAAUCUAAUCGCACUGAGUUCGCUCUCGCCGCCUAAGCUUUCGCGCUGGGAUUAACCGGUGAGCAGCCGCUCCGUUCGCUCUCUCAUGUCUUUGGGGAGAUGUCGAGCGUCAUUAAAAGACUUGCCUGACGCGCUGUUUCUCAGGACGCGCCGGGGACUUUAACUGUGAAUAUGCCUGCUGUCGGCAGUUUGCGGCACAGACAGGGGCAGACAGAUAGCCAUUCGGUCAGCAGACUACGCACGUAGAAGACUGGGAGUACGGUUACCGGACCCGGGUUCAAUUCCCGGCGGCUCCACA
rnacentral:tmRNA from 1 species